rnacentral:rRNA from 1 species
AUUGAACGCUGGCGGCAGGCUUAACACAUGCAAGUCGAACGGGGUGAUGGUGCUUGCACUAUCACUUAGCGGCGGACGGGUGAGUAAUGCUUCGUAAUCUGCCUAUUAGUGGGGGACAACAUCUCGAAAGGGAUACUAAUACCGCAUACGUCCUACGGGAGAAAGCAGGGGAUCACUUGUGACCUUGCGCUAAUAGAUGAGCCUAAGUCGGAUUAGCUAGUUGGUGGGGUAAAGGCAUACCAAGGCGACGAACUGUAGCGGGUCUGAGAGGCUGAUCGGCCCACCGGGGACUGGGACACCGCCCGCACACCAACUGGAGGCUGCAGUGGGGAAUAUUGGACAAAGUGGGGAACCCUGAUCCAGUCAUGCCGCGUGUGUGAAGAAGGCCUUAUGGUUAUAAAGCACGGUAAGCGAGGAGGAGGCUCUUUUGGUUAAUACCCAAGAUGAGUGGACGUUACUCGCAGAAUAAGCACCGGCUAACUCUGUGCCAGCCGCCGCGGUAA